UACGAAGGAUGCAAGCGUUAUCCGGAUUCAUUGGGUUUAAAGGGUGCGUAGGCGGACUUGUAAGUCAGUGGUGAAAUCUCUCAGCUUAACUGAGAAACUGCCAUUGAUACUGCAGGUCUUGAGUACAGAUGAUGUUGGCGGAAUAUGACAUGUAGCGGUGAAAUGCAUAGAUAUGUCAUAGAACACCGAUUGCGAAGGCAGCUGACAAAACUGUAACUGACGCUGAGGCACGAAAGUGUGGGGAUCAAACAGG
rnacentral:rRNA from 1 species